CCUACGGGAGGCAGCAGUGGGGAAUCUUAGACAAUGGGGGCAACCCUGAUCUAGCCAUGCCGCGUGAGUGAUGAAGGCCCUAGGGUUGUAAAGCUCUUUCACCGGUGAAGAUAAUGACGGUAACCGGAGAAGAAGCCCCGGCUAACUUCGUGCCAGCAGCCGCGGUAAU
rnacentral:rRNA from 1 species